GAUGAACGCUGGCGGCGUGCCUAAUACAUGCAAGUCGAGCGAACAGACGAGGAGUUUGCUCCUCUGACGUUAGCGGCGGACGGGUGAGUAACACGUGGAUAACCUACCUAUAAGACUGGUAUCAUUACGGGAAACCGGAGCUAACACCGGAUAAUAUCUUGAACCGCAUGGUUCAAUAGUGAAAUACGGCUUUGCUGUCACUAAUAGAUGGAUCCGCGCCGCAUUAGCUAGUUGGUAAGGUAACGGCUUACCAAGGCGACGAUGCGUAGCCGACCUGCGAGGGUGAUCGGCCACACUGGAACUGAGACACGGUCCAGACUCCUACGGGAGGCAGCAGUAGGGAAUCUUCCGCAAUGGGCGAAAGCCUGACGGAGCAACGCCGCGUGAGUGAUGAAGGUCUUCGGAUCGUAAAACUCUGUUAUUAGGGAAGAACAAAUGUGUAAGUAACUAUGCACGUCUUGACGGCACCUAAUCAGAAAGCCACGGCUAACUACGUG
rnacentral:rRNA from 1 species